rnacentral:rRNA from 1 species
UCAGGAAGAAAGCUUGCUUUCUUUGCUGGCGACCGGCGCACGGGUGGGUAACACGUAUCCAACCUGCCCUUUACUCGGGGAUAGCCUUUCGAAAGAAAGAUUAAUACCCGAUAGCAUAAUGAUUCCGCAUGGUUUCAUUAUUAAAGGAUUCCGGUAAAGGAUGGGGAUGCGUUCCAUUAGGUUGUUGGUGAGGUAACGGCUCACCAAGCCUUCGAUGGAUAGGGGUUCUGAGAGGAAGGUCCCCCACAUUGGAACUGAGACACGGUCCAAACUCCUACGGGAGGCAGCAGUGAGGAAUAUUGGUCAAUGGGCGCUAGCCUGAACCAGCCAAGUAGCGUGAAGGAUGAAGGCUCUAUGGGUCGUAAACUUCUUUUAUAUAAGAAUAAAGUGCAGUAUGUAUACUGUUUUGUAUGUAUUAUAUGAAUAAGGAUCGGCUAACUCCGUGCCAGCAGCCGCGGUAAUACGGAGGAUCCGAGCGUUAUCCGGAUUUAUUGGGUUUAAAGGGAGCGUAGGCGGACGCUUAAGUCAGUUGUGAAAGUUUGCGGCUCAACCGUAAAAUUGCAGUUGAUACUGUCAGUCUUGAGUACAGUAGAGGUGGGCGGAAUUCGUGGUGUAGCGGUGAAAUGCUUAGAUAUCACGAAGAACUCCGACUGCGAAGGCAGCUCACUGGACUGCAACUGACACUGAUGCUCGAAAGUGUGGGUAUCAAACAGGAUUAGAUACCCUGGUAGUCCACACA